UUACUUACCUGGCAGGGGGAAUACCAUGAUCAGGAAGGUAGAUUCCAAAAGGUGAGUCUCUUCCAUUGCACACUUCGUUUGGGUUGACCAUUGUGAUUUCUGUAAAUGUGGGAAACUCAACACCAUAAUUUAUGGUAGUGGGGGAUUACAUUUGAGCAAUCCCUUG